GACGAACGCUGGCGGCGUGCUUAACACAUGCAAGUCGAACGGAAAGGCCCUGCUUUUGUGGGGUUCUCGAGUGGCGAACGGGUGAGUAACACGUGAGUAACCUGCCCUUGACUUUGGGAUAACUUCAGGAAACUGGGGCUAAUACCGGAUAGGAGCUCCUGCUGCAUGGUGGGGGUUGGAAAGUUUCGGCGGUUGGGGAUGGACUCGCGGCUUAUCGGCUUGUUGGUGGGGUAGUGGCUUACCAAGGCUUUGACGGGUAGCCGGCCUGGGAGGGUGACCGGCCACAUUGGGACUGAGGUACGGCCCAGACGCGUACGGGAGGCAGCGGGGGGAAAUAUGGCACAAUGGGCGGAAGCCUGUGGCAGCAGCGCCGCGUGCGGAAUGACGGCUUUCGGGUGGUAAACCGCUUUGGCCUGAAACGAGGCGGGAGUGACGGUAAUGGGUAAAGAAGCACCGGCUAACUACGUG
rnacentral:rRNA from 1 species